rnacentral:rRNA from 1 species
AACACGUGGGUAACCGGCCCAUAAGACUGGGAUAACUCCGGGAAACCGGGGCUAAUACCGGAUAACAUACUUGCACCGCAUGGUGCGGAAAGUCAAAGGCGGCUUCGGCUGUCACUUAUGGAUGGACCCGCGUCGCAUUAGCUAGUUGGUGAGGUAACGGCUCACCAAGGCAACGAUGCGUAGCCGACCUGAGAGGGUGAUCGGCCACACUGGGACUGAGACACGGCCCAGACUCCUACGGGAGGCAGCAGUAGGGAAUCUUCCGCAAUGGACGAAAGUCUGACGGAGCAACGCCGGGUGAGUGAUGAA